GGAUGUGAUGGUGAUCACCCCAUUGAUCAUCAGGGUUGAUUCAGCAGAUCGGGCUGGCUAGACAGGUGUACCCUUCCACCUUCACUACUUCAUGUAUAUCCUUCUCAAAGCUUCGUGCUCAAAGAGGACAACCUCCCCCAUUAGAGGAGAACCAUCUUCAGUCAAGGGUAUAUAUGUAGCUGUGCUUCUCUGCUAGAACCUCCAAAAAAACACUCAAGGUCCAUUUGAAAUACUACCAGCAAUGAUGAGAGUUCCUAUUUCUCCACAUCCUCUUCAGAAUUUGAGAUUAUUAGUUGUCUAGUAGUAUUUUACUAUUU
ensembl:misc_RNA 7SK 7SK RNA